GACGAACGCUGGCGGCGUGCCUAAUACAUGCAAGUUGAGCGCUGAAGGUUGGUACUUGUACCAACUGGAUGAGCAGCGAACGGGUGAGUAACGCGUGGGGAAUCUGCCUUUGAGCGGGGGACAACAUUUGGAAACGAAUGCUAAUACCGCAUAAAAACUUUAAACACAAGUUUUAAGUUUGAAAGAUGCAAUUGCAUCACUCAAAGAUGAUCCCGCGUUGUAUUAGCUAGUUGGUGAGGUAAAGGCUCACCAAGGCGAUGAUACAUAGCCGACCUGAGAGGGUGAUCGGCCACAUUGGGACUGAGACACGGCCCAAACUCCUACGGGAGGCAGCAGUAGGGAAUCUUCGGCAAGAGACGAAAGUCUGACCGAGCAACGCCGCGUGAGUGAAGAAGGUUGUCGGAUCGUAAAACUCUGUUGGUAGAGAAGGACGUUGGUGAGAGUGGAAAGCUCAUCAAGUGACGGUAACUACACAGAAAGGGACGGCUAACUACGUG
rnacentral:rRNA from 1 species